CCUACGGGUGGCAGCAGUGAGGAAUAUUGGUCAAUGGGCGCUAGCCUGAACCAGCCAAGUAGCGUGAAGGAUGACUGCCCUAUGGGUUGUAAACUUCUUUUAUACGGGAAUAAAGUGCAUCAUGUAUACUGCUUUGUAUGUACCUUAUGAAUAAGGAUCGGCUAAUUCCGUGCCAGCAGCCGCGGUAAUACGGAGGAUCCGAGCGUUAUCCGGAUUUAUUGGGUUUAAAGGGAGCGUAGGCGGGUUGUUAAGCCAGUCGUGAAAGUCUGCGGCUCAACCGUAAAAUUGCAGUUGGUACUGGCAUCCUUGAGUACACUGGAGGUAGGCGGAAUUCGUGGUGUAGCGGUGAAAUGCUUAGAUAUCACGAAGAACUCCGAUUGCGAAGGCAGCCUGCUGGACUGUUACUGACGCUGAUGCUCGAAGGUGUGGGUAUCGAACAGGAUUAGAUACCCCAGUAGUC
rnacentral:rRNA from 1 species